CUAUUUAACCCUACCUCCUCUUCAUUCUCCCAUUCCCUGAACGAACCAACAUUUCUUUCUUUUUCCUUUUAAUUACUUCUCUUUUUGAAGCUAAGGAUCCUCGGGAUCUAUCUCAUCACCUUCAUCAUUCUUGAGUGCACAAGGCCGUGAUCCACUUCAAUUCCCGAGGCUCUCAUUAAUUACCACUUUUUCUGUUCUCUUUUCCCCAUCCUGUUCAUUCCAUUGCUGUUUUUUGGUGCAAUUUCUGGAAGUAGCUCUUACAAAGACUUGGGUUAUAUAUAUUGAUUUAAAAGGAUUCUUAUCGAUAGAGAAAUUGUACUACGUACAAGAAAAGUUUGGUUAAUUUCAUAUACAACAGAUCUACGUACAGGGAUUCUACUUGGAGUUCUUAGGUGCAGGAUAUAUCAAGCUAAGGAGGUUUGAAAUGAACGCAUUUUCCCAUGUUCCUCCUGGGUUUCGGUUCCAUCCGACGGAUGAAGAACUUGUUGAUUACUACCUAAGGAAAAAGAUAGCUUCGAAAAGGAUUGAUCUGGAUGUGAUAAAAGAUGUGGAUCUCUAUAAGAUUGAGCCAUGGGAUCUUCAAGAAAUAUGCAAAAUAGGAAGCGAGGAUGAAAAUGAAUGGUACUUCUUUAGCCAUAAAGAUAAGAAGUACCCAACAGGGACUCGCACCAAUAGAGCUACAAAGGCAGGAUUCUGGAAAGCCACGGGAAGAGACAAAGCCAUAUACUCAAGCUCAAGCCAUUGCCUGGUUGGUAUGAGAAAGACUCUUGUGUUCUACAAAGGACGAGCUCCCAAUGGCCUCAAAUCAAACUGGAUCAUGCACGAGUAUCGUCUUGACUCCAAUCAGGAAGAUGGCUGGGUUGUGUGCAGAGUCUUCAAGAAACGGAUGCCCACGCUACGCAACGUGGUAGACUAUGAUGAUCAACUUCCCUUCAUGCAAGGAUCUCCAUCCACUCACUAUCCCUGCAAGCACGACCUUCAUCAAUUCCAAUACAACACCCAUGAUGCUUUUCUCCAACUUCCACACCUUGAGAGCCCUAAUCAAGUUUUGAGUUCACCCUAUGCCUACGCCGAAAACAACAACAACAAUAAUGGAACUUUGCAGUCCUAUUCAUCUGAACGCAUUCAGCAACAACUUCACUUGCUUUAUGGUAGCAAUAUUGAGCAAGCAGUAGUGGUGGACCAAGUCACGGAUUGGAGAGUGCUUGACAAAUUUGUUGCUUCUCAACUCAUGAGUCAAGAUCAAGAUCAGGCUUCCAAGGAAACCUGCAGCGUGGCUGAUGAACAACAUGUUGCUACUACUGUGCUUCCAAAUGGAUCCACCAAGCAGGAUGACUAUGUUUCAACGUCUGCCUCCAGUAACUGCGAUAUUCACCUGUGGAAUUGAAGUCAAUAUUUGAUUCUCCAUGAACCGGCAAGUGUAAAGGCUUGAAAACCUAAGCCAAGAGUUAACGUACCUACUGCAUGUGGAUGCAUGCAAAUUCAGCUGUAAAUUAGCUAGCUAGUGUCAUAGCUAACUCAGUGAAGGAGGAGGAGGAGGAGUUGGAGGGAUGCUC